UAUAGGUAAGAGAAAAUAUUUUAAUCAGUGUCUCUUAACAGUCAGUUCAGACCUUUUGACAAAAUGAGGAGUUUGGUUAUUGUAUGUGUUAUCUCUAUGGUUGUGGUAUCCUCAGCAUAUCCAUAUGGAAUGCCAGGAAUGGGUGGAGGAUUUAAUCCCAACAAUGUCAACAGACUACAAAACUAUGGCACUCCAGGACUUGGACCCAAAAAUUUUGGUGGGUCUGGUUGGUCUCAACCUUCUCCAUUAGGUAUUAGUCCACAGAGAGGCUAUGGAUCUUUAAACAGCUUUAAUUCACCAAUGUCAGGAUUUGGUGGUUCCAGGAUGCCAUCAAGAUUUGGUAGUGCAAAUGGCCUUGCAGCCCUUCUUCCAUUCCUGAGCAUGAACAGUUUUGGCUACGAAAAUGGUGUUUAUGAUGCCUAAUAAAAAUCAAAGUUA